rnacentral:rRNA from 1 species
UGGUUAAAAAGCUCGUAGUUGGAUCUCGGCGGUCUGAGGGCGGUUCGCUUGAUUGAGUGCUACUGCUCUAUAGGCCGUGGUUUUGUCAGAGGUCUCGGGGUGCUCUUAACCGAGUGUCCUGCGAUGCUGGCAGGUUUACUUUGAAAAAAUUAGAGUGCUCAAAGCAGGCUUUUACGCCUGAAUAUUCGUGCAUGGAAUAAUAGAAUAGGAAGUCGUUUCUAUUUUGUUGGUUUUCGGAAAUCGACUUAAUGAUUAAUAGGGACAGUCGGGGGCAUUUGUAUUCAAACGACAGAGGUGAAGUUCUUGGACCGUUUGAAGACAAACUACUGCGAAAGCAUUUGCCAAGAAUGUUUUCAUUAAUCAAGAACGAAAGUUAGAGGUUCGAAGGCGAUUAGAUACCGCCCUAGUUCUAACCAUAAACGAUGCCAGCUAGCGAUCUGCCGACGUUUUCUUUGUAGACUCGGCAGGAAGCUUCCGGGAAACCAAAGCAUUUGGGUUCCAGGGGAAGUAUGGUUGCAAAGCUGAAACUUAAGGGAAUUGACGGAAGGGCACCACCAGGGGUGGAGCCUGUGGCUCCCCCCGACUCAACACGGGAAAUCUCACCAGGCCCGGACACUGGAAGGAUUGACAGAUUGAUAGCUC